GAAGUCUAAGAACCAGUUAAGCAUUUGCGGCACACCAAGUGAGCAAAACGCCAAGAACCACAUAGAAGUGUAAUAAAAGUAUUUCAUAUUUACCCACCACAGCCAUUCUUCAUCCUAUGAUGACUCUAACUAUAGACUCCAAACUCCUGUCUACCCCCUCCAAAAAUAAAUAAAAUAGUGGCACAUGUGUCCAUGCUUCUGGCUUAUUGAGACCUUACCAAAGACUAAUUUCUAUAUUCCAUGACAGUGUUGAAAGGAAAGGUGGUAUGCACUGACAGUUUCGGACAGCUGAGACCAAAGGUAAAUGACUGUUACAAGAGAAGAAAGACUUCAGUAUCAUAGACAGACAAUGGGUAUAGCAAGUGACUAAGGGAUCUCAUUAAGAAUAAAACAAUCAUUGACUACUAACAAAAAAAUAAAAAAAAAAAAAGCAAAUAUACAAGUCAUAAAAUAGGGGUAAUAUUUACACAGGCAAACAAACACAGAAAUAAUUAUAUUGGCAAAAUAUGUAUGACUGAUCAAUAUCUGACUUUUGUCCAAACAUUGUUUUAAUGUGUACAGAGUUGAAUUAUUGUCAUAUAAAAUUAUGAUACAUAAAAACUAAAAACACAAUUAAUUAAUGUGACAUAGGCUACUGUAAAAC
rnacentral:lncRNA from 1 species